AGGAAAGUUUAUCAUGCUCAGACCAGUGAAACUCAACAGCUGGUUGUAUUUCCUCACAUUGGUUGCUGUGAACAACUUUCAUGUAAAAAUGUUCACUAGGUAACACAAACUAAACUCAGUUCAUGUCUUUUUGAUUCAGAUGAUAAUAUCUUAAAACAAUGGCACACAACACAAAAGAUUAAAUCCAUUUUCAUGUAUUAUGUUUCCUGUUUAGCUUCCUUUCUCUGGUGAAAGUAACCAUGACGACGCUGACUAACAUCUGGUAUCUCUGGGCUGUGAACUCUUCACUCACCUCCUCUUGCAGGACUCAGAAAGGUUCCAGUAAGGAGAAGCCAUGCAGAAAAGACUAUUAUUCCCGGAGAUACUGGAAGAUAAAAAGUUUGUGUUCACUUGAACGCAGCAGAUCCAGGUGAAAUGUAAUCCUUCAGCUGUCUUGGGCUCCGUCUGUUUCCGCUGCUUGUCCAACAAUAUCAUCAAUAGACGAGUUCCAGACAUUAUCAGUAAGGGGUAGAAGACUAAAACAGAUUGACUGAGAGCUUAUGAGGAAG